rnacentral:tRNA from 1 species
GGCCUCAUAGCUCAGCUGGUAGAGUGUGCGCUGUACAAAAGCGUAGGCGGCGUUCAUACGUGGGUACGAAUCCCACCGAGGCUA